CUAGCGACUUCAGAGUUUGAUCCUGGCUCAGGAUGAACGCUGGCGGCGUGCUUAACACAUGCAAGUCGAACGAAGCACCGGAUCUGAUUUCUUCGGAUUGAUUAUCCGGUGACUUAGUGGCGGACGGGUGAGUAACGCGUGGGUAACCUGCCUCAUACAGGGGGAUAACAGUUAGAAAUGACUGCUAAUACCGCAUAAGCGCACAGCACCGCAUGGUGCAGUGUGAAAAGCUCCGGCGGUAUGAGAUGGACCCGCGUUAGAUUAGCCAGUUGGCGGGGUAACGGCCCACCAAAGCGACGAUCUAUAGCCGGCCUGAGAGGGCGACCGGCCACAUUGGGACUGAGACACGGCCCAG
rnacentral:rRNA from 1 species